UCACACCAGGGCUGACCAAGCUAAAUACCUGCUAACUAAAGAGCAGUAAAUUGGAUUUUUUUAGCUAAAAUACCCCAGGAUGCUCUCUACAACAGCAGUGUGUUCACAAAGCUCAAAUUUAAUUUCUGAUGAAGAACAUGGCCAGUCACACUAGUUCUCUGAGCCAUACCUGAGUAAAUUAAAAUCUGCACACAAAGAAAGAGUUUCCUACACUUUGUUUAUCAUUCUAACAAUAUCAAAUGUCAUCUACAGUAGCAUAAAUAGAGAUUCAACUCCUGCUCACCUGGAUAAUCCCACUAAACUCAGAACAGGACUUUCCUUCCUGUAGCUGCAGUGGUAUUUCAUAACUGAUGGAUAAUUAUGGAGCACAAAAGGAAUUCUUUUUAUCUAGUUUGUUGAGUUCUGUCAGUUAGAAAUGGAGAGGGUUGUCUCUAAGAAAUGAGAAGUCCUCGUGUCACUGGCCAUGGGACAGCCCUUGGCUCUGACCCCAAAAAGGAAUUUUGUGGCACAGCCAGGCACUGCUUGUCCUGGAAUCCUGCAGCCUUCUGGAAGCACAGCCCUUGUGAAGGAUGGUGAGAUUUAUCGAGCCAAACUGAAGCAGAAGAUUAUUUUUGAGCUGAACCUGGGAACAGCAUCACUCAAAGGCUCGUUAGUUUGAUGAAGUGGCAAAAGUGACUCCAGCUCCCGUGGGUACUCCCAGCUCCGAAACAUUUACACAUCCCAAGGGAAUUCUGAAAAACACCACCGAGUCUUUAGGUCACAUUUCCAACCUGAUUUGUGAUGAUCUUGCACCAGGGCCUUCAAGAGAGAGCUCUCCCUCCUCAGUGACCUCAGGCUUGUAACAAGUUUCUGUUCUGUCCCUAUGAUACUGAU